rnacentral:rRNA from 1 species
UUGUUCGCAAUGGGCGCAAGCCUGACGACGCAACGCCGCGUGGAGGAUGAAGAUUUUCGGAUCGUAAACUCCUGUCGAAUGGGACGAAUAGAUUGCGGGUUAACAGCCCGCGAUCCUGACGGUACCGUUAAAGGAAACCUCGGCUACCUCUGUGCCAGCAGCCGCGGUAAUACAGAGGGGGCAAGCGUUAUUCGGAAUUAUUGGGCGUAAAGGGCGCGUAGGCGGCUUUUCAAGUGACGGGUGAAAUCCCUCGGCUUAACCGAGGAACUGCCUGUCAGACUGGAAGGCUUGAGACCGGGAGAGGUGAGUGGAAUUCCCAGUGUAGCGGUGAAAUGCGUAGAUAUUGGGAGGAACACCAGUGGCGAAGGCGGCUCACUGGACCGGAACUGACGCUGAGGCGCGAAAGCGUGGGGAGCAAAC